rnacentral:tRNA from 1 species
GGAGUGCUAGCUCAGUUGGGAGAGCAUUUGCCUUACAAGCAAAGGGUCAGGGGUUCGAGUCCCUUGCACUCCA